rnacentral:rRNA from 1 species
AUGAUGUGUCCACACCUUGGUGUGGUAAGAGUGAUCCUAUGCUGCCUAGAAAAGCUUCGUGAGCGAGAUAUGAGCCGCCCGUACCCCAAACCGACACAGGUGGAUAGGUAGAGAAUACCAAGGCGAUCGAGAGAAUCGUGGUGAAGGAACUCGGCAAAAUACCCCGUAACUUCGGGAUAAGGGGGACCUGACACGUAUAAGAGCUUUGCCUCGAAAGCGUUGAGGGUCGCAGAGACCAGGCCCAAGCGACUGUUUACUAAAAACACAGGUCCGUGCUAAGUCGAAAGACGAUGUAUACGGACUGACUCCUGCCCGGUGCUGGAAGGUUAAGGGGAACUGUUAGUCAGUAAUGGCGAAGCGGUGAACUUAAGCCCCAGUAAACGGCGGUGGUAACUAUAACCAUCCUAAGGUAGCGAAAUUCCUUGUCGGGUAAGUUCCGACCUGCACGAAUGGAGUAACGAUUUGGGCGCUGUCUCCACCACGAACUCGGCGAAAUUGCAUUACGAGUAAAGAUG